AACAGCACAAUGGUCAUGAAGAACACAAAGAGCAGGAAGAUCAGCCCUGUUCUUCUUUCUGUCUGUGGGAACAUCUGGAAUUUGGAGACUGAGAGAGCUGGGACCUAGGAAAUUGCCCAACAAAAUUGGCUCUGAGUUGCACACCGAAUCCUCUACUAAAGUUCUUUGUGUUGGUGCAGCUGCAAAAGUGAAAUCAGCAAAUGACAACACUUCGGAAAGAUUCUUCCAAUGCGUCCGUUACCAGAUUUUCGGGGGC